ensembl:snRNA U2 U2 spliceosomal RNA
CUCCUUGUUUGAUGGCCCCUUUUGGCUAAGAUCAAGUGUAGUAUCUGUUCUUAUCAGUUUAAUAAUGAAUUUUUUAAAAAACAUUUAUUCUAUUUGAAAGGCAGAGUCACA